UAAAAGAAAACCUCUCUUCCAUUAUUCAAUCUAGCUCCGCCUUCACCUUCUUCUCCACCAUCUACACAUCUGAAUAUAUUCACCUCUCUUCUUUUCUUGGUUGAUUUACCUUCAGGUAUUAUAUCUGUCUCAUAUAAGCCUGUGAUGGAUUUGAUUAUUUUGAUCAACUAGGGUUCUUUAUCUGUUGCAGGAACGAAGAAGUAAGACACAUAUGCAUACCAGCUUAGCUCAGGUAUGGAUGUGCUAGAGGUUUAUAUAGCAAAAAGGAUUAGAUGUUUUGCUGCAGUUAAACAGAUGAGAUGUUACAGGCUUCACACAAGCAAUGAUAUGCUUCAAGUCCAGAGAACAAUACUACGAGACAAAACUUAAAAGCUUGCCAGAUGUUACAGGCUUCACUCAAUACCUCGCAGAUUUAUGGUUUUGCAAGAUGUUACUUACUUUGUUAUUGAAUCUAAUCUCAACUCUGAUCCACGACAGGGUUAGAGAAGGACUAGAACCGUCCAUAUCUUGCAUUAACCAGGUUUGUGAUGGGCUUAUACAAAGAGAAAGAAACGUGUUUACCACUUAUACUAUGGCUGGAAUUUUAGACUUAUAAAACAAAUGUGUAUGAGUUUAAGUCUUUCCCGAUCACGAAAUAUGCAUGUAUAUGGUAGACCGGUUGCAGUGUGGUAUUGAUAGUGAUUAUUAUUUGUAAAUUCUAAUUUAUUUUCUUAUGAUCGGCAACUCAAGUAUCAAAUCUCAUUAAUCAUUAUUUAGUCCAAACGGGGGUUCCUAUAUGUUUUAUGUAUUGGUUCACUAUGUUGUAAAAGUGGAAAAAUCUGCUUUUCCUUUUUUCACCAUACUCUCAUUUUAUUUUUUUCUAUUGUGUAUAAUCAGAUUUUCCUUUUGUUUCUUUCAGCUAGCAACCUGUAGCUUCUUUCGAUAGAUGGAAUGCAGGAGUUUGACUCAAAGGUUCAUUUUACGUAACUAAAUAAAAUUGUCACUAACAGAAUCCUUGGCUUUCAUUCUUUUUCUGCUCCCAGUCUUAAUAUUUUUUAAGUUGAUAAGGCAGAGCUUCAUUAUUGCUUCCCCGCCAUUUGUAUUGAUAUAUUAACUUACGAAUAAUUUGAGGAUUUGCAUUAUUUUUGUGAUUUAAU